CAGACUCCUACGGGAGGCAGCAGUAGGGAGUAUUCGGCAAUGGGGGAAACCCUGACCGAGCAACGCCGCGUGAAUGAUGAAGGUCUUCGGAUUGUAAAAUUCUGUGGUAAGAGAAGAAAGAUAUAAAGAGGAAAUGCUUUGUAUUUGACGGUAUCUUGCUCGAAAGCCACGGCUAACUACGUGCCAGCAGCCGCGGUAAUACGUAGGUGGCAAGCGUUAUCCGGAAUUACUGGGCGUAAAGAGUGAGCAGGCGGUUAGAUAAGUCUAUGGUUAAAUGCAACAGCUCAACUGUUGUUCGCUAUAGAAACUAUUUAACUAGAGUGCGGGAGAGGUAAGUGGAACUCCAUAUGUAGCGGUGGAAUGCUUAGAUAUAUGGAAGAACACCAGAGGCGAAGGCGGCUUACCAGUCCGUAACUGACGCUCAGUCACGAAAGCGUGGGGAGCAAAUAGGAUUAGAUAUCCUAGUAGUCCACGCCGUAAACGAUGAGAACCUGAUGCAGGAGAUAUUCUGUGUCGAAGCUAACGCGUUAAGUUCUCCGCCUGGGUACUACGUUCGCAAGAAUAAAACUUAAAGGAAUUGACGGGCGCCCGCACAAGCAGUGGAGCAUGGGGUUUAAUUCGUCGAUACACGAAAAACCUUACCAGGGCUUGACAUCCCGCUAAAAGCCUUAGAAAUAAGGAAAUAGUUAUAGCGGUGACAGGUGGUGCAUGGUUGUCGUCAGCUCGUGCCGUGAGGUGUUAGGUUAAGUCCUCAAACGAGCGCAACCCUUGUCUUUAGUUGCCAUUAUUAAUUUAGGAACUCUAGAGAGACUGCCGGCGCAAGCCGGAGGAAGGCGGGGAUGACGUCAAAUCAUCAUGCCCUUUAUGCCCUGGGCCACACCCGUGCUACAAUGGUCGGUACAAAGAGAAGCAACACUGUGAGGUGAAGCAAAUCCCAUAAAGCCGAUCUCAAUUCGGAUUGAAGUCUGCAACUCGACUUCAUGAAGCUGGAAUUGCUAGUAAUCGCAGAUCAGCAACGCUGCGGUGAAUACGUUCUCGGGCGUUGUACACACUGCCCGUCACACCAUGAGAGCCGGUAAUACUCGAAGUCGUUAGCCUAACCGUAAGGAGGGCGGCGCCUAAGGUAGGACUGGUGAUUGGGGUUAAGUCGUAACAAGGUAUCCCUACGAGAACGUGGGGAUG
rnacentral:rRNA from 1 species